UUGCAGUUAAAAAGCUCGUAGUUGGAUUUCGGAGUGGGCCAGUUGGUCCGCCGCAAGGUGUGUUACUGACUGGUUUGCUCUUCUGCGCAAAGACUGCGUGUGCUCUUUGUUGAGUGUGCGUAGGAUUUACGUCGUUUACUUUGAAAAAAUUAGAGUGUUCAAAGCAGGCUAUUGCUUGAAUACAUGAGCAUGGAAUAAUGGAAUAGGACUUUGGUCCCAUUUUGUUGGUUUCUAGGACCGAAGUAAUGAUUAAGAGGGACAAUUGGGGGCAUCCGUAUUUCGUUGUCAGAGGUGAAAUUCUUGGAUUUGCGAAAGACGAACAACUGCGAAAGCACUUGCCAAGAGUGUUUUCAUUAAUCAAGAACGAAAGUUAGAGGAUCGAAGACGAUCAGAUACCGUCCUAGUUCUAACCAUAAACGAUGUCGACUAGGGAUCAGCGGGCGUUAUCGUACGACCCCGUUGGCACCUUACGGGAAACCAAAGUUUCUGGAUUCCGGGGGAAGUAUAGUCGCAAGGCCGAAACUUAAAGGAAUUGACGGAAGGGCACCACCAGGAGUGGAGCCUGUGGCUCAAUUUGACUCAACACGGGAAAACUUACCAGGUCCAGACAUAGUAAGGAUUGAC
rnacentral:rRNA from 1 species